UACGGAGGGUGCAAGCAUUAAUCGGAUUUAUUGGGCGUAAAGGACGCGUAGGCGGCUUUGUAAGUCUUUAGUGAAAUCCCCGAGCUUAACUUGGGAAUUGCUUAGGAUACUGCAUAGCUAGAGUGUGGGAGAGGCAAGUGGAAUCUUUGGUGUAGAGGUGAAAUUCUUAGAUAUCAGAGAGAACGUCAGUGGCGAAAGCGACUUGCUAGAACACAACUGACGCUGAGGCGUGAAGGCGUGGGGAGCAAAAGGG
rnacentral:rRNA from 1 species